UACGGAGGGUGCAAGCGUUAUCCGGAUUUACUGGGUUUAAAGGGUGCGUAGGUGGGUAAGUAAGUCAGUGGUGAAAUCUUCGAGCUUAACUCGGAAACUGCCAUUGAUACUAUUUAUCUUGAAUACUUUGGAGGUAAGCGGAAUAUGUCAUGUAGCGGUGAAAUGCUUAGAUAUGACAUAGAACACCAAUUGCGAAGGCAGCUUACUACACAGUCAUUGACACUGAGGCACGAAAGCGUGGGGAUCAAACAGG
rnacentral:rRNA from 1 species